UGCGCAGGCGGUUUGUUAAGUCUGCUGUGAAAUCCCCGAGCUCAACUUGGGAAUUGCAGUGGAUACUGGCAGGCUGGAGUAUGGUAGAGGAAGGUGGAAUUCCCGGUGUAGCAGUGAAAUGCGUAGAGAUCGGGAGGAACACCAGUGGCGAAGGCGGCCUUCUGGACCAAUACUGACGCUCAUGCACGAAAGCGUGGGGAGCAAACAGGAUUAGAUACCCUGGUAGUCCACGCCCUAAACGAUGCGAACUGGAUGUUGGGCACAUUACGGUGCUCAGUGUCGAAGCUAACGCGUUAAGUUCGCCGCCUGGGGAGUACGGUCGCAAGACUGAA
rnacentral:rRNA from 1 species